CCUACGGGAGGCAGCAGUAAGGAAUAUUGGUCAAUGGACGGAAGUCUGAACCAGCCAUGCCGCGUGCAGGAAGACGGCCCUACGGGUUGUAAACUGCUUUUGCAGGGGAAUAAACCUCGAUACGUGUAUCGAGUUGAAUGUACCUUGAGAAUAAGGAUCGGCUAACUCCGUGCCAGCAGCCGCGGUAAUACGGAGGAUCCAAGCGUUAUCCGGAUUUAUUGGGUUUAAAGGGUGCGUAGGCGGCUUUUUAAGUCAGGGGUGAAAGACGGUAGCUCAACUAUCGCAGUGCCCUUGAUACUGAAGAGCUUGAAUGUACUUGAGGUAGGCGGAAUGUGACAAGUAGCGGUGAAAUGCAUAGAUAUGUCACAGAACACCAAUUGCGAAGGCAGCUUACUAAAGUAUGAUUGACGCUGAGGCACGAAAGCGUGGGGAUCAAACAG
rnacentral:rRNA from 1 species